UUUGUCUUAACUACACAAGUGGAAACGAAAUACAGUAAAACCUCUAUAAAUUAUUAUU
rnacentral:sRNA from 1 species